rnacentral:tRNA from 2 species
GGGGCCGUAGCUCAGCUGGGAGAGCGCAACACUGGCAGUGUUGAGGUCAGGGGUUCGAGCCCCCUCGGCUCCA